rnacentral:ncRNA from 1 species
AAGUUUUAAUCCUGUUCCAUCCUUCAUUGUUAAUAACUCUUGUAUUACUCCUUUUCCGAAUGUAGUGGUUCCUACAAUUCUUGCCACAUUAUUAUCUUUUAAUGCCCCUGCUAAUAUUUCUGAAGCACUUGCUGUAUUCUCGUUUGUUAAAACUAUUAUAGGAACAUCAAUCACUUUAUCACUUUCUGCAUAUGUAAUAUCUUCAUUUUCGUCUUUAUCUUUUGUUAUUAAUAACGUGCUUCCUUUAUCUGUAAACAAAUCUGCAAUGGCUGUUGCUUCGUCUACAAUUCCUCCACCAUUAUUUCUUA